rnacentral:rRNA from 1 species
UCGAGAGGCUUCGGCAAUGGGGGAAACCCUGACCGAGCGACGCCGCGUGAGGGAUGAAGGCCCUUGGGUUGUAAACCUCUUUUGUUCGGGAAGAAAUGCGAUCAGGUGAAUAAUCUGGUCGUUUGACGGUACCGGACGAAUAAGCUCCGGCUAACUCCGUGCCAGCAGCCGCGGUAACACGGGGGGAGCAAGCGUUGUUCGGAAUCACUGGGCGUAAAGGGCGUGUAGGCGGUUCGGUAAGUGGAAUGUGAAAUUCUCCGGCUCACCCGGAGGACUGCACCCCAAACUGCCGAGCUUGAGUAUGGGAGAGGAUGAGGGAAUUCCUGGUGUAGCGGUGAAAUGCGUAGAUAUCAGGAGGAACACCGGUGGCGAAGGCGCUCAUCUGGCCCAAUACUGACGCUGAGGCGCGAAAGCUAGGGGAGCAAA